GAAAGGGACAUUGAACUGCUAGCUCAUACCCCUGAUUUUAAUCAAUCAGCCCUUUCC
rnacentral:tRNA from 1 species